rnacentral:rRNA from 1 species
AGAGUUUGAUUCUGGCUCGGAACGAACGCUGGCGGCAUGGAUUAGGCAUGCAAGUUGAACGAACUCCUUCGGGAGUGAGUAGCGAAAGGGUGAGGAACGCGUGAGUAAUCUGCCCAUAAGUUGGGGACAACAGUUGGAAACGACUGCUAAUACCGAAUGUGGCUAUUGACCCGCAUGGGUUUUUUGGCUAAAGAUUUAUCGCUUAUGGAUGAGCUCGCGUCCCAUUAGCUAGUUGGUGAGGUAACGGCCCACCAAGGCUACGAUGGGUAGCUGGUCUGAGAGGAUGGUCAGCCACACUGGGACUGAGACACUGCCCAGACUCCUACGGGAGGCUGCAGUCGAGAAUCUUGGGCAAUGCGCGAAAGCGUGAACCCCCGGCAAUGCCGCGUGCAUGAUGAAGGCCCUCGGGUCGUAAAAUGCUGUCUCCCGUGACGAAUAAUGACGGUAGCGGGGAAGGAAGCCACGGCUAACUACGUGCCAGCCGCUGC